GUACUUCAUUACAGGUGGGAAAACAACACGGAUUGUAUGUCCUCCAGUGUUCAUGUAGGCUGGGAAGUGGGAGGAGAAAAACAAAACAAAGCUGAAAAUGAGUGUUGAAUGGGCUUUCCCAGGAUUCCCAGAUAUCUGUGGUUACCUCUGUGUGAACUGUAGCAAAGUUCUCCAGAAAGGAGUUCCCCAAAUAGGUCUCACCACACUACGCUGCCCAUCCAUGAAGCUCUUCUGAAGAUUCUGGAGCACCUAUGGUUUUCUGUGCAAAAUGGCAUAUAGGGUUUGUAACUUAUGUUUGCCUCUCCCAGGAAAAGGACAUUAAUUCAAAAAGUAAGUUUAUUAGCUGUCUUUCAAAAACAGUAUUCUAAAAAAUACUAGUUUAGUUGUGGAAUUCUGUGAAGGUGGGACUGAGAGGAGAUUCUGUUUUUGGUAACAACAUGUGGUCUGUAUGUUGGAAGAACUUAAGGACACAGUCCACUGUUGAGUCCAGCUGAACACCUGUUGUAUGCUACUACCACUGUCUCUGGAAACGGAUGGUUUUGACCUCCUUGUUUUAAUAGUUACUCCUCAAAGGUCAGAUUAUUGUCUGACCCUUCCACUAGUCAGCAUGAUUAAGUGAUUGUGUCACUGGUGAAUGCUUGUUCCACUCCAACCUCUGCA